UUACCUGGCCUUGACAUACUAAGAACUUCCAGAGAUGGAUUGGUGCCGUUCGGGAACUUAGAUACAGGUGCUGCAUGGCUGUCGUCAGCUCGUGUCGUGAGAUGUUGGGUUAAGUCCCGCAACGAGCGCAACCCUUUUCCUUAUUUGCCAGCGGGUUAAGCCGGGAACUUUAAGGAUACUGCCAGUGACAAACUGGAGGAAGGCGGGGACGACGUCAAGUCAUCAUGGCCCUUACGGCCAGGGCUACACACGUGCUACAAUGGUCGGUACAAAGGGUUGCUACCUCGCGAGAGGAUGCUAAUCUCAAAAAGCCGAUCGUAGUCCGGAUCGCAGUCUGCAACUCGACUGCGUGAAGUCGGAAUCGCUAGUAAUCGCGGAUCAGAAUGCCGCGGUGAAUACGUUCCCGGGCCUUGUACACACCGCCCGUCACACCAUGGGAGUUUGUUGCACCAGAAGUAGGUAGUCUAACCGCAAGGAGGACGCUUACCACGGUGUGGCCGAUGACUGGGGUGAAGUCGUAACAAGGUAGGCGUAGAUGA
rnacentral:rRNA from 1 species